rnacentral:rRNA from 1 species
UACGUAGGGGGCAAGCGUUGUCCGGAAUUAUUGGGCGUAAAGCGCGCGCAGGCGGCCUUGUAAGUCUGUUGUUUAAACUUGGGGCCUCAACCCCAAGUCGCAAUGGAAACUGCAAAGCUUGAGUGCAGAAGAGGAAAGUGGAAUUCCACGUGUAGCGGUGAAAUGCGUAGAGAUGUGGAGGAACACCAGUGGCGAAGGCGGCACUCUGGGCCGGAACUGACGCUGAGGAGCGAAAGCGUGGGGAGCGAACAGG